rnacentral:rRNA from 1 species
UACGUAGGGAGCAAGCGUUGUUCGGAUUUACUGGGCGUAAAGGGCGCGUAGGCGGCGCGGUAAGUCACUUGUGAAAUCUCUGAGCUUAACUCAGAACGGCCAAGUGAUACUGCAGUGCUAGAGUGCAGAAAGGGCAAUCGGAAUUCUUGGUGUAGCGGUGAAAUGCGUAGAUAUCGGGAGGAACACCGGUGGCAGAAGGCGGCGAUCUGGGUAGAUACUGACGCUGAGGUGCGAAAGCGUGGGGAGCAAACAGG